rnacentral:rRNA from 1 species
UACGGGGGGAGCAAGCGUUGUUCGGAUUUACUGGGCGUAAAGGGCGAGUAGGCGGCCACCGCAAGUCGACUGUGAAAUCUCCGGGCUUAACCCGGAAAGGUCAGCCGAUACUGCGGGGCUAGAGUGCAGAAGGGGCAACUGGAAUUCUCGGUGUAGCGGUGAAAUGCGUAGAUAUCGAGAGGAACACCUGCGGCGAAGGCGGGUUGCUGGGCUGACACUGACGCUGAGGCGCGAAAGCUAGGGGAGCGAACGGG